rnacentral:rRNA from 1 species
UCCGUAAGUGAACCUGCGGCAGGAUCAUUA